AACGAACGCUGGCGGCAUGCCUAACACAUGCAAGUCGAACGAGAUCUUCGGGUCUAGUGGCGCACGGGUGCGUAACGCGUGGGAAUCUGCCCUUUGGUUCGGAAUAACAGUUGGAAACGACUGCUAAUACCGGAUGAUGACGAAAGUCCAAAGAUUUAUCGCCAGAGGAUGAGCCCGCGUAGGAUUAGCUAGUUGGUGUGGUAAAGGCGCACCAAGGCGACGAUCCUUAGCUGGUCUGAGAGGAUGAUCAGCCACACUGGGACUGAGACACGGCCGAGAAUCCUACGGGAGGCAGCAGUGGCGAAUAUUGGACAAUGGGCGAAAGCCUGAUCCAGCAAUGCCGCGUGAGUGAUGAAGGCCUUAGGGUUGUAAAGCUCUUUUACCCGGGAUGAUAAUGACAGUACCGGGAGAAUAAGCUCCGGCUAACUCCGUGCCAGCCGCCGCCGUAACAC
rnacentral:rRNA from 1 species